rnacentral:tRNA from 1 species
CAGUUAGCUCAGUUGGUAGAGCAACUGACUCUUAAUCAGUGGGUCUAGGGUUCGAAUCCC